rnacentral:snoRNA from 1 species
CGAAUGAAGAGAAAGCACCUCCUCUGAGCACUGCAAUGAAGAUACGCCCACGGUCUGACG